AAUGAACGCUGGCGGCAGGCCUAACACAUGCCAGUCGAGCGAGCAUUUCGGUGCUAGCGGCGGACGGGUGAGUAACGCGUGGGAACGUGCCCUUUUCUGCGGAAUAGUCCUGGGAAACUGGGGGUAAUACCGCAUACGCCCUUUUGGGGAAAGAUUUAUCGGAGAAGGAUCGGCCCGCGUUGGAUUAGGUAGUUGGUGGGGUAAUGGCCCACCAAGCCGACGAUCCAUAGCUGGUUUGAGAGGAUGAUCAGCCACACUGGGACUGAGACACGGCCCAGACUCCUACGGGAGGCAGCAGUGGGGAAUCUUAGACAAUGGGGGCAACCCUGAUCUAGCCAUGCCGCGUGAGUGAUGAAGGCCUUAGGGUUGUAAAGCUCUUUCAGCUGGGAAGAUAAUGACGGUACCAGCAGAAGAAGCCCCGGCUAACUCCGU
rnacentral:rRNA from 1 species